rnacentral:rRNA from 1 species
AAUUUAAAGUCUAAACUGCCCACUGAUGAAAAUUAAAGGGCUGCAGUAUAUUGACUGUACAAAGGUAGCAUAAUCAUUAGUCUUUUAAUUGAAGACUUGUAUGAAAGAUUUAAUGAAAUAUAAACUGUCUCUUAUUUAAAAAUAGAAUUUAAUUAUUUAGUUAAAAAGCUAAAAUAAAUUUAAAAGACGAGAAGACCCUAUAGAGUUUUAUAAUUAAAUUAUUUAAGAUUUUUUAUAUAAUUUAUAAUUAAAAAUAGUUUAAUUAUUAUAUUGGGGUGAUAAAAAAAUUAAAAUAACUUUUUUUUUAUAAUAACAUAAAUAAGUGAAAAAUUGAUCCAUUAAUAAUGAUUAAAAGAAAAAAUUACCUUAGGGAUAACAGCGUAAUUUUUUUUUUUAGUACAAAUAAAAAAAAAAAAUUGCGACCUCGAUGUUGGAUUAAAAUAAAAUUUAAAUGCAAAAGUUUAAAAUUUUGAUCUGUUCGAUCAUUAAAAUCUUACAUG